rnacentral:lncRNA from 1 species
AAAAAAAAAAAGGUGUGAGAUAGAGUAAUUAGGAUGUCUAUGCAGACGAGAAGCUUCAAAAAACUUCGUUAAUAUGUCUCUCCUGCCAUUAGUGCAAUUUUUCAAAUCAAUGAAAUGAUCAUUGCUAAUUUUAUGUUUUUCAAAGAAAGAGAUUGGCUUACAAUUUUGAGGUGAUUUAGCCCAUCAAAGUCCGGAUCCUUAGUUCCAAAUUGUUGCAAGACCUCCUCUCUAGCACGUGCCUGCCAUUCGGGGUACCUGCAGAGUAAGACCAUUGUCCAGACAAGUAGUGCAGAAGUAGUCUCCUGGCCAGCAAAAUAGAACAGCUUGCACUCAUCAACAAUUUCUUCGGUAGUCAUACCAGAGUCCUUGUUUCCAUGCUUCUCGAUUUCUUGAGAAUUGGAUUGAAGCAUUAAUCCCAACAAGUCAUCUGAGCCGGCUUCUCCUGCUCUCAUUGCCUUUCUUCUUGUGUUGAUCAUUUCCCUUACUGAACCAUUAACUUCUCUGGCAAUUUGUUUCAUUCUUCUGCUCCUCUUGGUUGGCAAGAACCUAACAAAGAUCAUAGUUUAGCCAAAAAAAAAAAAAGCAAGAACAAACUAUGUUUGCAGCAAUGUUUUUGGCUCCAUUUUUAAAUCACUUAGGCGUAUCUCAUAUGUUAAAAUUCCCAUCUAAGGCAGUCUUUCAUGAUCAUUGUCCAAUCACGAUUUUCAAACCAUUGAUUUCUAGUAGUCACAAUUUUCUACAGCACUCAAGAAUUCAUGAUCAGUCUACCUAUAUCCUGGGAUGUUGAUGUACACCGACCGUGCUAACUGCAUCAAAUGCUCAGUUUGCUCUCUCUGGAGCUCAAAGAUCCUUCUUCCUUCUUCAUAGUUGCUGCCAAAUGCUGUACGAGAAAUUGCAUCGCUGGUAAGAGCCUGAAGAUUGGGCCAAACAUCCACUUCAGCCAACCCCUUUGGUGAAACAACAUUCUCCCAUUUCGUCACCAUCUCACUUGCACUUUUAUAAAAGGCUGGGAGCAUAAGCUAUUUAUCCAUAAAAGAAAAGAAAAUCAGUGAAAGAAACUACUCCAUUGAAGGCUGCUUAGUAAAUAAAUGAUGCAAUUGACUAAGGACUGUCAAAUACAGAUAGUGUUUUCAAUUUUAGGAUAUAAUAACUGUGAGUGUGCGAAUUUAUAUCAUAAUUUUACUGUAAUUUACUUGCGCUAACAAGUAUUUUUAGGUCACCUGUUAAAAAAAAAAAAAAACCCCAUAAAAUGAUUAAAUUAGAGAGAAGAGAACCUUCAAUUUCUCAACGUGGAAAGCUGGGUUGAGGAGUUUUCUAUGUUUGGCCCAUUUUUCUCCCUCAUAGGUCACCACUCCUUGAACCAAUAAUUUUGUAAUUGCAUUUAAACGGGGCUUAGGGAAAACAUCAACCUUUUGUGUAAUUUCCUUCAUAAGAUUAGGGUCCACGAUCACCACGGCAGGCGUCGGCCCAAACCAUAAAUAUGUAUUUUUACCUGAAAGCCACAGCCACAUGGAUUAGGAAACGAACCGCAACCACCGCUUUUGCCCCAUAACCAAAAAGUAUUAGCAACCUAGAGACCUUCCGCUAGGAAAGGAUAAUAAAAUGCAAAUGUUUCAAAACAUAAAAUACAAGGGUAAAAUCAACCGUAAUCCACUAAAAUAAUUCAAAUUCUUCAAAAACCUUUUUUUUUUUUUUUUGGCAUCAAUCAAACUAAUAAACUGUUUAAAGUAAUUCAAUCAGCUCAUUUCCAUCAGAAUCUUAGAUUAAGUUAGCUGGAAAUCUGUUCAAAAUGUCAACUACGCGCUAUUGGUAAGGAUAAAAUUGACAUUUCUCCUCAUCCACCUUCCUAAUCGACUAAAAUUCUUCAUUCUAAAUCAAGUUAACUCCCAAAACCUUGAGAAUUUGGUGGAGUGCAAUUUCAACUCUUUAACUUUUUUCAGAGUUAAUAUGAUGGGAUUGAUAUAUAGAUUUUAAACGAUUGGGAAGGAUGGAUGAGACAAAAUGUCAUUUUUGUUCCUGCCAAAUUGCACACAUCCGUUAGCUUGACGAGAUGGACUGAUUGAAACUUUUGAGUACUAUAAUGACACAAAAAAAAAAAAGAAAUAAUCUUAUAUAUAUGUCAGUGUAUGCAUUAUUAUCAUUAGAUAUAUGAUACAUGUACAAAAUUUAAAUUUGAAAUUUAACAUUUGCUCACGUGUCAUCCGUCUAAUUACGAUAGAAUAUACACUGACAAUGUAUAUAAAAUUUUUUCAAAAAAAAUUAAUGGUUUCUAUGAGAAUUUUUGAAAUAGUUUAGUGGGUUAUAGUGCACUUUAUCCAAAAAAGAAUUAAUAAAAAAAGAUUCACAAGAAUAAUAAAGCAAACAAACCAAAAAUAGAAUUUAAAAGAAAAAGAAAGAAAACUUGAAAUCUAAAGUUCAUUGGGAGCACGGAUUUUUGUCGGAACUUUAAUCCUUAUUUUGUUUAUUUGAUGAUUUGAUCCAAUUUAAUCUGAUCAUAAUUGACUACAAAUUUACCAUGCCAAUAUUCUCUGUCUUAACUCUAGAAUUCCAAUUUGACUAAAUUAUUGAAUUUAAACUAAUAGCUGGAAAACAAACUAAUUUUACAGUUCAUGUAUCGAUCUUAUAGAUUUAUACAUUUCUUUAUGCGAAUUUCUGUCAAAAUAUUGGCUUCCCUCAAUUAGCAUGUCUAAUUUGCAUAGACAAUAAAUAUUAUUCACUAUUUUCUCCUUUUUUUUUGGGUAAGUAUCUUAGUCACUAAUUUUCAACAUCGAAAAGAAAAAGGGUAAAAGAAAAGGUAAAUGAUAUUCUAUUUAACAAAAGCAGAGAAAAGGGAAAAAAAUGGAGAUCAAAUGAGGGACGAACGUGGUUAUGAGGCAAAGAAAUGAAAGCAGAGUUGAUAAGAACAAUGAAUACUACCAUAUUUCUUAAUGGCUCCAAGAUAUUCAGGAAUAACUCUUGGUACGAUGUCGUCGGAGAGUCUAAGAUUCUUGGAGUGGGCUUCUGUGUACAAGGCCGAUAUAUCUUUGAAGUCUCCAUGGAGCCGCUUGUAAGGGUUUCCCCUGAAACCUUGCUCUUUCAGACGUUUCUCCAGCUUCUUCGGCCUAAACCAUACCCAGUUCAAAGCUUUCCAUGAUACUGCUACUACCAGAAGAAGAAGAAGAAGAAGACAAGAAGAAUACACAGUAAAGGUUGAUGGAUUGGUGGUUUCCAUGUUGUGAAUUUUGUGAUGGCUUCCGUGUAAAAUUUCGACCUUUCUUGUGUGCAUAUUUAUAUUCGAGUUGGGGCGAUGAUAACCUUGGUUUUGUUUGCAUGGCUAUUCAUUUACUAGUUUUAUAGCUUUGACGUCACGUGUCAGGCAGUUGAGACUCGUUAUUUUGCUGUUAUGUUUGUGUUUUUAUUCUUUGUUAGAUGUAGUAGUCAUACGUGUGAGUGUGUGUUUUUUCCUAAUUGCACAAAUAAACAUGCCCUGAAAUCAGGUUAUCUAACAUUUUUAAUGUAGCAUUAAUCAGUAACCAAUGCCUAGAAUCAGGUAGAAUUAAUAGGCAUGGUAAUCUAACUACAAGGCAUGCCUAAAAUCAAUAAGUAAUGCCUAAAAUUAGGUAGAACUAAAAGGCAUAUGGCUAUCCAUGUAAUGUGUAGCCUUGCUUAUUAGUCACAUUACUUCUCUAAGAUAAGCAAUUUGACAAUUUCCAUUUUUUUUUGACAAUUUUUGUUUGCUAGUACUUCACAUUUAACAGUCUUAUAGAAGAAAAAAAUAAAGAAAAACAAUUAUAAAAUGGGUUUAUCAUUUUCUUUUGUUUGCUAGACUUGAACGAGCAUUCAAACAUAUUUAAAAAUAUUUCAAACCAACGUAAAAUUGAAUUAAUCUUUUUUGUAUGUUCAAUGGCUUUUUCUUUUACAUUAAUAGGUUUGGAUGCAUGACACAUAAUUUUUAUUCAAUUCUAGCCCACCGUGACCUUCGUUUGUAUAUACUAUCAUUUCUCCUAAUCAAGAUUUCAUGUUGGAUCCUAUUCUUUUUAGUUGCAAUUUAGAUGAUUGUUUGAUUGAUAGAUUAAAAGUGUUCGGGAAUGGAGGGAGCAACAAUGGUUUCUUUGGACUGGACAUCAUCUAUUGAAAAUGAGUCUCGAACUCUCAAUGUUGAACAACUUCAAUUUGCAAGGGUAAAUAUACAUAUUUUCUUAUUUUCCUUUCUUUCUUCCUUUUUUUUGGGAGAUUUUGAUGAUUUUGGUUCUGAUAAUUUGUAUAAGAAGCAGCACUUUAUGUGGUGAGUACGAGGAGCAUGGAAGAAGCUCUUUGAAUUUCAUUAAGAUAAUGGCUUAGAUAUAUACUAAUACAAUAUCUAACGAUUUCUUUAGGUUAAAAUUUUUCUUUUGUACUUUCUAGAUUCUUUGGAUUUAUAAUUCUUACUUAUUUGAUGAUUCUUUUUGGUACUUGGUUGGUGAUUUUUUUUUUUUUUUUUUGUAAUCUGUAUCAUGAGCUGCAAAAUUAUAGGUUAUUUUGUCUUUUUUAAACCAUGUGCUAAAAUAGAUGAGCUUCUCUUUUUCUUUUUCUUUUUUAAAUAAAAGUGGUAUUCAAAAUCAAGAGAUAGUUGGAAUCUUUAAAUGGUGAAAUCCAAAUCGACUUGUGUUUAAGGAUAGGUUAGAAUAAAAUGCUAAGAAAUAACCGAUGGAGCUAUUCUAUAAAUGGGUAACAAACUCGUGUUGAAGGUUAAAAAAUACAUAUUUAUAGAAUCAUUUUUUUCAUAUUCGGAAGAAAAAAGCUGGACCUACUGUAAAAGUUCAAAAACGAUAAUCCAUUUCUUAAAUUGCAUAUUUUUUAUGAAGAAAGUUUAUCCUUUUGCCAAAAAAAAAAAAAAUGUUUACAUAGAGAUCCCUUUUUUUUUCGCAAAACAGAAGGACCCUCUGACCAUUCUAACUCAAAAUACAACCGGGCAGCAGCUUGCAAGGGAGUGCAAGGUUCCCUUGUACCAUUCGUGUGGCAGUAGUUGGUGGUGGGAUAGCCAAAAGACCAAAACACCACCAAUUGAGUCAGCCGAAAGACCAAAAUACCCCUCAACUGAAGCAUGCUUUCUUAUCCAAGAUGAUUGGUCUUUCAUGUUAUCGUUUGUCAAUCUAGGAAUAUCUUUUUCGCAGGAAAAUUAGGAAAGAAUAGUAGUUUGGGAAGGAGACAAAAAAAACGUAAAAAAGAGGGAGUUGUUCCCUUGACUUUGGAGAGUAACAUAUCUGCUUGAGGGGAGACUAUCUAUCCAUCCGUCGUUUGUUCUUUUGGCCAAGGAGCGGAAGGCUUUUUUUUUUCUCUUUUGAUUUUUCGAACGUUCAUGUACUCAACGAUGAGCAACUAAUUUCCUCUCUCUAAUUUGGUUUAACUACAACUGUGAAAUCUUAUUAUUUUUAUUUAUUUUUUUAUUCAUUAAUAUUCAAUGUUUCUGAUUUAAUUUCUUAUGAUUAUUUUGUUAUGUAAAUAUCAUGGGUCUGAUAUUUGAAUUAACCUAAUAAUCAAAUAUCAUAUUAAUUAAUUAAAUCUGUAAUUGUUUGAUUGGUUAAUAUUAGUGACGACUAACGUGAUUAAUUUCAUGUUAGAGAAACAUAUGAUCUAAUUUAAAUAAACCUUGGUUGUGAAUUUAUUGAUUAGAAUAGGAUUUUUCUAGUUUUUAAUACAAUGAAAAAAUUAAAUUCUACGGACGUACCUAGAGUUUUUUUUUAUUAGAAAAGUAAUUAAUGGGCGUGACUUAACUAUCGACACAGUAAGAAAAAUCUGAUGACAAAGCCAUUUGUCAUCACUUAUUUGGCAAUUAUAACCUGCUUGUUAACGAAUAAAUGAAAUAGUUAUUGCAUCAAAUGAACAGUUGUGUGUACCACUUACGAAGUUUCCUUCUUCGCUAGAGUUUGCUUAUUAUUAAAUUAAUUUAAAUUUUCUUUCGUUUGAUUGCUUUUAGUUAAAUUGAUCUUUUUAUUUCAAUAUUUUAAAACACCCAUUUAAUUCUUGUUUGGAAGGAAAUAAAAUUCAGGCCUGUUUGACAAGUGAGUUUUUUGGGUGUUUGUCUAAAACUUUACUAUAGUUUAUUGUAGAAGUUUUUAAAAAAAAUUUUGAAGUAUGUAAAUUUUUGAAUAUUUUGAAAUGUAUAAUUUAAAAACUUUAAAAAUUUUUUUAAAGUUACUGUAGCUAAAUUUUUUAAAAAACUUAUAGCAGAUAAACUUGACAAAAAAUUCAAGUGCCAAACCGGGCCUCAGUUCUUGAGAAAACGAUCCUACUCACCGUGUACUUGAAAUUAAAAUUUUAGAAUAUAAAUUUUAAUUUCGGUGAUUUGAUACCCAUCAUAGCAUGGUCAGAUGUUCUGUUCUAGAAGAAUAGAAAAGACUAGACAAUCAAACGAGCACUCAAUUUCAACAAAUUGAUUACGAUUGUUCUGGUAACAAUCAAGCUAUGUCAGCAGUUAUUGAAGGCAAGUCAUAAUGUGAGCAGCCAGAAGAAACAAUUGAAAGGGAUCGUUCUAGGGUAGGUACGCUUUGACCGUGCGCCUACCGUGGGAACGUGCUCAGAGAUGGACACAUGUACUGAUCACUAAUGUAGUGGACCUUGUAGAGGAAAAUUGUCAUUAGAAGUCAGGUUAUUAUCAUUUUACUCCUUAAACUAUAUUACUAUUAUCAAUUUAUCUUAUUAUGUUAUCUUUUAGUCAUUUCACCUAGGGGUGGCAAUUUUCGACACGACCUGAAAACAAAACACGAACCUAACACGAAAUUAAUGGGUUUGGGUUGAGGUUUCGGGAAUUCGGGUCAGAAUCGGGUUGGACCCGAUGAACCCGAAAAGAAAACAGGUCGAUUUCGGGUCAACCCGUGGUGACCUGAUAUGACCCGAUAUGACCCAUUAACGAAUUAAAAAUAAUUUAAUAAACAUAAAAAUAAUUUAAUCUAACUAAACUAAGUUAUUCUUUUUUUCAAAGGCAUUAAUUACUUAAUUCUAAAUGAAUUUAUUUAAUUUGUGUGAAGUUGAAAUUAUUAUAUUUGGACAAAUAAUAUAUUAUAUUAUUUUUUACUUUUAUGCUGUUUUAAUUUAUUUUAUAUUUUGUUUGGGAUAAAACACUUUUACGGUAUUUAAUUUAUUUUAGAUUUGGUUUGGAAUUAUUUAUUUAAAUUUUUAUUACUUGAUUAUGUAAUUAGUUUUAUGAGAAAUUGAUUUUAUUAGAAAUUACAGUGAUAAAUUAAUAAAUUAAAAUUAAGUUUCGGGUCAUUUCGGGUCGACCCGCCAACCUGAAAUUUUCGGGUUCGGGUCAGCAUACCUGACCCGUCACGGGUUGGCGGGUCGGGUUCGGGUCGACAGAUUUUCUGACGGGUUGACCCGAACCCAACUCGCCAACCUGAUUUGGACCCGAAUUGCCACCCCUAAUUUCACCUUAUAGAAAAUUCAACUGUUGAUAAAUUUUUGAUAAAAAUAUCUUUUAUUUUAUAGUAUUACUAUAUUGUUAUUAUCACUUUAUCCCUUUAAAUUAUAGUGAUGUAGUCGCUUUACUAUCUUCUAGAUGUUUUACCCUAUCAUUAAUCUAAAAAAUAUGUUAAAAUAUGGUUAAAUGUAUUUAUUUUUUAUAUAUAAUUAAAAAUAAAAAGUUGAAAUAAUUAUUCUUCCUUUUUUUCACUCUAAGAUUCCAAAAACAUAAAAAUAAAAAUGUAUUCUCAAAUUUCUUUUUUCACACUUAUUAUACUUGAAAAAGAAAAGUAGAUAGGACAGAAGUAGACAAAAAUUAGAUUUUGCAAAGAAAAAAAAUAAAAAAAUCUAAUACUAUCGUAUUACUUUAAUGUCUUAGGGAUUAGGAUUGAAAUUGGGUAAUAAACAGAAAAAUAAAUUAAUUUUAAAAUAAUAAAAUUAUUGAAUUCUUUCUUGUUUGUAUUAAAAAAAGAAGUGAGCUCUCUCUCUCGCCACUCUAAAUUUUUUUUUUAUAUAAAAAAAUGAGGGUACUAUUUUCUAAAGUUUUUUAACUUGUUAAAUUGGUUUAAUGGUGGAAUAAAUUGACUAAAAAAUAAUUUUAUGGGGUAAAUUCAUAAUAAGAUUAUAAUUUAUGGGGAUAAAGUGAUAUUAAUUUUAAAAGUUAAACAUGUCUUAUCAUUUGAAUUAAUAAAUCGUUAAGUUUAAUCGUUAGCUUUGGAAGUAAAAUGACUAAAAAAUAACGUUAAAGAGAAAAUUGAUAGUGACGCCAAAUGUUAAGGAGAUACCGAGAUAGGAAGGAUUGAGUGAUAAUAACCCUUAGAAGUCACACGCGCAUGCCCAACUCGGGGUGGGUCGUGUGGUGUGUUGCUCCUCUUUAGGAUAUGGCCACCAAGGAUCGAGUUUCAAAAUUAAUGUGUUCGAGAGGAAUGGGUCUCUCUUUUCGGGCCGCAGGAGAUUAGUCGGGUCGAAAGUCCAGAUACUCCUGUGUAAAAAAAAAGAAAAAAAAAGUCACGCCCAUGAAUUGAGUGCAAGAACCAAUGGAUUUCGAGGACAGUAAACUGCAAUAAAACAUGUCUGGUGGCGGGGAGGAUGUACAUGUGCCUCUUUAAGUACAAUGAAAUACCGCCUUCUUUCUCUGAUGGGAGCCUUUUCUCUCUUGGAGAAAGAGCUUUUCUCUACUUAGGUAGGAGUUUCAAACUCUCAAAAAAACCUCAAAUUCAAAAUCCUUCAAAAGUUCAAGACCCUUCAAAAUUCAAGAACCAAUUGGACACCCAGAUCUGCUACAAUUUCAGCGAACAAGAAACAUUAAGGCAAACGACACGGUAGAUCUGGUGAGGCUGCCAUCAAAACAGAAGAAAUACAACCACAAAGGGAACAUAUGGAGAAAAGAUGAAUUAAUGGCAAACAAAAAGGACCACAAGCACUAAGAGAGAGAGCCAGGAAACCACUAUCAUGGGACGGACCACGGGCAGGAACGGUUGCUAGCGGUUUUGUGCAUUUUACACACCGCGUAAUUUUGUUUGCAUAUGGCGUAACUUUAUUUGCACAACGUGUAACUUUAAAACAAAAUUUUGUGAGUCUCACACACGUUAUAAGAAUCAAUGUAUAAAAAAGUGAUCUAGAUCUUAUAAUUUUUUGUGACCAAAUCUUGGCUCUUAACUGCUCCUCUUCUAGAUGAUCGCUCCUGCCCCUCAUCCAUCACGGGACAUGUGGAAGACUGAUUCAGCUCACAUAAAAAAAUCCCUCGGGUAAUUGGUCUUGAAUCCUUGGCUGCUUUCUCUUCAUUUAUUCCUGCAUUUAUGACUCUUUUAGCUUCUGUCAGUCUACUAGUUGGACAUGAGUUCUCUUCCUAACUUUUCCUUUAGAAUUCUAGAAGAGUUACCUAGGUUCUGUCAGUAUAGUUGGUUUUGAUCUACCUUUUCGUCUUAGUUGUCCUAACAUACUCCCAAUAGUCCUGCCCUAGCUGGAGUACAGGAAGUUCUGCUCCUCUUUUUGCAGAUUUGGUUAGCUCCCAACACUGAGUGCUUAGGCUGAAAUUCCCACUAGUAUCCUAAUCAAAAUGGCAGAUAAGAUAUAAUGCAGAAAUUUGCUCUAAACAACAUGGAAUCUGUCGGAACUGAUCUAGACAGUGGGGAUCUGAGACCUGGACUUGUUGAAAGGUAAACAUUCUUCAAUUGAGAUAAAAGUAUUCGAGGAAAAGAAAAGGAAAAAGAUGAAAAACGUUCCACUUGUUUCUUGCAGCCAAAAAGAAGAGGUGCCUAAUGACUGCUAACUCGUCUUCUGCUUGGAGAGAGAGAGAAUAAAGAAAACGAUAAUGCCUGUCCCUUUUUUUCAUUUCCUACUAACACUGAACUACUCCUAAUUCAAAUCAAAUUGUUCCAACUAUGUUAACGAAAAGGAAGAGUCAACAUAGACAAAAUAGUCUAGCUUUCUAGUAGGGAUAAAAUAUUUUAUCCCUGUGGUGGAACAUCUGAUUCAUAUGACUUCAACUCGCGACUGGAUAUUACGCGCCAGCUCUUGAGUUUUCCGGAUGUGCAUAAUUUUUAACUUUGACGUGCUUACACCGGACAACAAGUUGAGUAAAUAAUCACGCUUUUUUAUUAUUUUUUUGUUCCAAAUCCCUACAAUCGACAAUAAUUAUCAAAAAUAAAUAGAAUAUACCAAUUAACUCAAUAUUUGAUAAAAUAAAAGAGAUAAAUCAUUAUGAAAUUAAUAACAAAAAUGCAACGUAUCAAUAAUAGGGAAAGUGAAAGGGGAGAAAACGGGGAACUACACAGACAUGAAAAUUUUUGUGGUUAGUGUGUGGAACUACCCAAAGGACCCUGGAGUGGCAGAACUGGGACCAAACCUAUUCCAAUUUACAAUCCCGGAUGAGAAAUGAAGAACAAGGAUACUCACAGGGGGACCAUGGAUCUUGCACAAUCAAAUCCUAGAACUCAAUGAGUGGUAUAAAGGAAUUGAGGAGGAUGAAACUACAUUUCAUGUUGCACCAUUGUGGAUACAAGUUUGGAACUUGUGUCUACACUGAAUUUUCAUGAGGUCAAGGACGUGAUCAUCCCCCAAACAAGUGGGAAGGAAGGGAGACACUUAAAGUUGCUGGCUCUGGUGGACAUCUCCCAAUUACUGAUGAGAGGAACCACUGUCAGAAUGAAUGGAAUAAUCAAAUGGGCAAAAUUUAAAUAUGAAAGAUGCCCAGACUUUUGUUACCAUUGUGGGAUUACAGGACAUAGUGAGAGGACUUUGCAAGGUACACAUGAAUAUCCAACAUGAACAGCAGGAAAACCAAUAUGGUCCAUGGAUGAGAGCUUCAAAUGAAAGGGUGUCACCUCAGAAAGAGACAAUAGUGAACAACUAUGGCUCGAACAAGGUUCACCGGGGAGUACAAAAUGGGGAAUUAGUCAAGAGAGACAUGAGGAAUGCAACAACUAGCAAGAUGAGGCCCAGCAGUCAUGAGCGGGUCCCUUCAUGACUGCUCAAAUUUCUAAAACCACUUAAAGACAAGCAAUAAAAUGGACCCUUUAUGACUAUCCUAAUUUCUAAUAUUAAUACCAAAAAAAGAUAAACAACAAAAGGGUCCAUUUACGGCUUUCUUGGACCCGUGGCAAUAAUUCUUUAAUUUUCUCCCCCUCAAAUUCUAGAAUCUCCAUUGUUUGACCAAAUUUUAAAGUAAUUGCUGGAAAAUAAAUGUAAUUUGUAGUUCACAUAUGGUAGGUCUCUUUUUUAAAAAAAAAUUUAUUUACAAAAACUUGUGUAAGUUCGAUUUGCAGUCUAUUUAUCGACUAUAUAACAUAUAAUAUAUGCAAUAAUCACAUGAAUUUUCUGACUUUUAUCAUCCUUCAUUCAUCAUCAAUUCUCUUACACAACCUUACUCAAAGUGACCAUUGCAUAUAGCACAUUAUAUGCAAGAACAUCCACAAGCAUAUUCGUUCAACCAAGUCUAAACAAGUUUAUUUAAAAACAAUAACAAGAAUUGUAACUCAAUAAUACUACAAACUAAUCGAAACUUAACUUGCAAUUGGGUUUGAUGAUAUGGUGGAAAGGAUUGUAAAUAGGAGAUCAUUAGUUAUAGACCUCUCACUUACAAAAAAAAAAAUUAAAAUGGUGUAAUGAAUAUGAAGAUAUAAUAAACAUAUGAAUUUUUUUAAGCAAAUUUCAAAAUAAUAGCUUCCACCAAUUAACAAGUCUAUUAUUUAAAUUACUAGGAGAGGAAUGCCUGCGCAUCGCGGGAGUAUUUGGUACUUGUGGUUAAAGAAGAUUUUUCAUUGGACAAAUAAUAAUACAUUUUGAAAAGAAACAGUUAUGAAAUAUGACAAAAAAAAGUUUGGAAUUCAUUGUCCAGUUCUAAAGAAGCUAGAGUCUGAUACUUUAUAUAUAUAAAACGUGUUCAACACCAACAUAUAGUUUGAGUAUUUGUCCGCGCAUCACACUUAUGAAGUCCUAAAGGGCAGAAGAAUAAACUAUGAAGAAAUACCUUGGAAUCUGGGACACCCUCAAGAGUCUCCUUCUCUAAUAAAAGCGCAACAAAUCCAACAAUAUUCUUUGCUUUCCUAUAUGUUUCAACAGCUUAACAGUUCACCAAACAAUUGACUUCCGCCAUUUCUAACAUAUGUAGUUUACAAUAUUUUUUUUCCUUUUUCACGGCUCAACUAACAAUUGCCUUCCAAUCUACGAAAGUAAGAAAAAAUACAAAGAGCAAAACAAGUAGUCAUGGGGUGAGAUUCUUGCCAGCUAGGUAGUAGUAAAUUUUGUAGAACCAUCAGAUCCCUAGGCCAUCAUGGUUACCCUCACCGUUCUUCCUGCCUUUGUCCAAGUUCAUUUGCAGCAUCACUCCAUCCUCUGUUCCUUCUCUUCCCCAUUGCAACUGCUAAACACAGCAAGUCAAGUUUCAUUAGAAACAAAAGAAAAUAGAUGUGAUCAAACAAAAACAAAAAGUAAUAUAGUAGAUUAAAUGAUUAGGUUUGGUGGAUUUUGGGCUUAUGUUCGGUGCAUUCAAAUGUUUCUACUAUAGGCAAUUUGAGACUUUGUGGCGGCGGUGAUAGGGUGUUAAUUGUUGGUUAUUUUAUUGUUAAUUUUUUCCUUUAUUCUUACCAAAUAUUGUUUUAAUUAUUAAUAUUUACUUAUAUUUGGUAUUGGACUCAAUUUCAGGAAGUGAAACAGAAAACUACAAAAAUGAGGGACUUUUUGGAGAUAAUUGGGAUUUCAAACAACCGGGCCCACAUGGUGCUACAAAGAGAUUGUAUUUCCUUUGCUGAUUAGGAGAUUGGAGUCCUACGGGCAAUAGGAAACUAAAAGCAAGGAAUUCGGUAGAGCCCCACCUUUGGUUUGAUUCUCAAUUCCAGCGGGGACCACAGGGAUAAGAAGCUUUAGUCAUUGUUGGCUUUAAAAAGGAGACAAACGUACAGAGAACUCUGAUCAAUCAAUAGUUUUAGUUUAGGCUUUUAGCAUAGUUUUAGUUUUUCUUUUCUUAGCUUUUUCGCAUGGUUGUUCUCCAUUAAUGAAGGACUAACCUCUUAAUUCUAGUCAAGGGGACAACUGAAGACUUGGUUCAACAAUUACUGUGAGAUCGAAAUUAUUUUAAUCGCUUCCUCAUUUAUUGGUAUUCAUGUGUUUCCUGUUUUUAAUUGUUAUAGUCCUUAUGUAUGAUUGAUUAGUGCGCAAUAAUUAAUUAUUCAUAUAGGUUAUUUUGCUAAAUAGAGGUAAUUGAAUCCGUAAUUGUUCGUUAUCUCUAUCUUAGUAGCAACUGGCGUAAUUGGGUUUAUGUCAGGGGAGCAUACGAUCUAGUUUAAACAAACCCUCGUAGCGUGCCCACGCCAGAGGGAAAGAAAUUUUCGUUCAAGAUCUGCGGACUCUAUAGCAGUUAGACGUGCCCACGCUAGGUGGUCACGCUAACGGAUCGAGAAUUUUCGUCGGAUGGUCAAAAGACUAGGGAGCGGUUAGGCAUGCCCAAGCCUAAGCUAGAGAUUCUUUGAAAAAAAAAAUUAAAAAUUUUAUAUUGAGAAAAUUCAAAAACUCAAAAAAAAAAAACAUUUUUUCUUCUUCUUCAAAAAUUCAAAUUUUGGAAUUUCAAAUUCAGGAAAAAAUUUGGAAAAAACAUUGAGAAAAAAAAACCCAAAAACUAUUUUUUUUUUCCUCUUUUUCUUUUUCUCUUUUCUUUCUUUCUUUCUCUUUUAUUCCUCUUUUUCCUCGCUUCCUUCUUCUUCUUCUUUUCUUUUCUUCUUCGACCGAGACCCAAGCCACAGCGCGCCGCAUGCCGCCUGAGCUCAACGCUGCCGCGCCGUCGCGCGCAGCCUCCCCUGCGCAACCUCCACCAGCUCCACUCUCUUGACCACCUCCACCUCAGCUCAACCUCUACCAGCUCGCCAUCGCCGCCGCCGUCCAGCCCUGAGCUCCACCGCACGGUCGCUCCCACCACUGCAGCAGAUCCAGCUCAGCCGCCUGCCCACGCCCCACAGCCCAGCGCCGCAACAGCUUGCUGCUGCCUCCAACCCCACACGACACACAGCGCCCGAACUGCCAUCGCCGAUCGCCGCCAGUCUCCCAGCUCCCCCUCUGCGCUCUCUCCACUUCGUGAACCAGCCGCACUUAAGCUCACCUCCACCAGCUCUCCCUCGCACGCCACUAGCUGCUCCGCUGCUCGCUCCAUUCCCACCUGUCCAAAUUGACAGGUGGAGGUAUUGAACCUUCAACUUCGAUUAGUAUUUUUUUUUUCUUUUUUUUUCUUCUGGUUCUGCUUUUGCUAGAUUUUGCGCUUGUGUGUCUGGGUUUCUUGUUGGAUAACAGAGAGGGUUGUUGUGGGCAUUUUCUAGGGUGAAUUUUGGACAGAUUUGGGUCUAAUUGCUACCAUAUGUGGGGAUAUUUUCUGAUAUUUGUUGAAUUGUUGGCCGUCUGACCUUCCCUAUGUGUAUACCAGUGGUACUGGUUGGAGUGUUUUGUUUACAUUCAUUGAUUUUAUGUGGUCGCCUGUCUGAUUGCGAGCUAAUGACCUUGUACUUCUGUUGUUGUUCGCAAUUUCACCUGUGGUUGCUGAAAUUGCCAAUUUCUGGGGUCAUUUGCUACUUUUCACAGGUUGGAUUUCUUGUUGGAUCCAAGAGGGUGAUAAUUUGGGCAUUUUCUAGGGUCAAUUUUGGGACAAAAUUACGUUUAUUUGCUGCUUUGUUUGGGGAUAUUUUCUGGCAUCGAUUACAUUAUUGAGUUGGCCAUUUGCUUUAGUUUUUCCCUGUGACUCACCAGUGGUACUGGUUGAGAUUUUUGGCCUAUCGUUGUGGCUCCUAUUUGAAGAUUCUUGCUUAUUUGAAAGUUUAAGUUCUUGUGAUUGGGUUGCUGCCGUUGAAUUUAAUUCUUUCCUGUCUAUGCACCAGUGGUACUGGUUGCAAUGUUGCUUUCCAUUUCUUAAUCCUCUGUGCUGGACUGCCUAUUCGAUUCUUGAGUUUUGGUGCCUGAACCAUUUCUGAAGUGUACCCUUGGCUAGAGUUUUCCCUUAAUUAUUUCUCUUAAUCAAUUAUUUCCUGCAGUUAAUUUAUUUAGUUAGUAUUUAAUCCAAAAACCCCCCAUACUUUGGACUCUAGAAGAAACGAAUUAUCCCCAGUCCCUGUGGAUUCGACCCUACUCACCGCUAUAUAUAAAAUCUGUAUUUUUCUCGAGUAGGUAUUUAUUAUUGCACAGGUUCGGCACCUGUCAGGCGGUGUGGUGCCUUUGUAAACCAAAAGGAACAAAAUUAAGACACCCACAAAGAGGAGAAGACUUACGAACAACCAGAGUCUCAAAUUUAAAGAUGUGAGCUGACACCGCUGCUACACACCAGAAAAACCAACCACAUAAACAACAGAAUUAAGGAACAAAACUUAUCUCAAGCUAAACCACCACAAAUAGUUGUAAUUGAAGACCAUUCUUGAAUGCUGAGUAUAAAGGGAAAAAAAAAUCCCAAUCCCAGAAGCAGGGGAGAAUCUAAAGAGUGUGAAAGAGAAGGCAUUGGAACAACCAUAACCGAUACUCAGACAUUAAUUCAUUAACAUACCCACGUUUAUGGCUGUUAAAUUGAGAUGUAAAUGACAGAAAAAAUGGGUUGUUUCUGACGUGAGCUUUAACAUCUUUGGGAGUUGCGCAAGUGAUCGGACAUAAGUUGUUUCAAAUAAAGAAAUAUCCUCAAACAGUUAUUUUUGCCUCAAAAGUUACACUUCAAUUAAAUGUGUCUAUAAUACCAUUUCAGUAUUUCUACAACAUAUAAGUUUAUAUGUGUUGUACUCUAUGCAAAAACGGUUGCAAAAUAAUUACACAUUCCACAAAUACCCAGUUGUCUUCAUAAAUCAAAACUUUAAAUGUAUUAAAAUGAGGACAUUUUGGUAAACAUGCCUAAACACAUGCUGUUCUCAGUUGUACCAAAAUUUUUAAAAAAACUACACAACAUUCCACAUUCUCAAAAAGUUCUAUUCAUCCAGUUGAAAUUCAAAACCUCUUUUAACCACAACUCAUUCUUAUAUAGUAUAAGGAUAUCUCAUUCAAUUUUUUUAUGACGUCACAAGGAAAAAGAGAAAAGAAUUGGUCACAAAUAUUUUUUUAAUCGAUAUUGAGUCAUAAAUCUUGAACAAUGUGUGGAUGAACAGAAUCUGCCUUUUUUUUCUUAAAAACAUAAAAAAGGGAAAAAGAAAUCAUAACAGCAGUGUUUUGAAAAUCGAAACAGACCGGCCGGUUUGAUGGGUUGAACCUCGAAUCAGCCAUGACAGUGGUCCAUUCUAUACUAAAGUUGAAAGCGUCAAAUAACUUAUCAAAAUUGGUCAAACUCAUCAAAACCGGUAAAUCUAGUCGAACCGGUGAUUCUCGAUUUUUCAAAGGAUUGAACUUGGACCUUUUCUAUUAAAGCCUAGCAUGGUAACCAGUGCACAAUCACAUCCAAUUAGUCUCUUUUGAGAACACAUUUAUGUAAAACAAACUUUCAUCUUUCUUUCCUCUGUUUUUUUUUUACAAAAUUUUAUUCUCUCAUGACUCUUUUCUUUUUAGUCUUCAACUCUCUUUCUCUAUCUCCUCUUUUCUUUUGUCACCCCUUUUUUAAUCCAACCUUUUUAGUUUUAAUUUAUUGAUAUUUUUUUCCAUCUUUUGUUUUUGUCUAUUAAUUAAAAAAAUUAAAAAAGAAUUGUUAUUCUUUAACCUUAAAAACUGAUUAUUAAAUGCCACAACCACUCACUUUUAUCUCAUUUUUUUUUUCUUCUUAUCAAGUUUGCAUCUCUAUUUUCAAUUCUCCUGACUUUCUUCAAACUCCAAAAUUCUUUUUUUUUUUAAGUUGCAAUUUCUAAAUUCCAAAAACGUGAAUUAAAAUUUAAACUCACAAUGUCUAAUUCUCAUAGACGUGAGUUUUAUAUAAUUUCAAAAUACUGUGGUAUUUUUAGAUUGGAUUUAAGAUUAUUUUUUUGGUAGAUAUAAUUGAGAUUGAGAUGACAUUUAUUUGUUUCUACUCAUAAUUUAAAAAUUUUAUUUUUGAAAAUCCAAAUUCUUUGAAAAUAUUAAAUUUUUUAUCAUAUAAAGUUUUAAAUUAGUCCACUGCAUGUCUUAUUUUGUGUAUAUAUAUUUAUAUAAAUUAUUUUGUAAAAAAUUCAUUGAACCGGUCCGACCGAUUGAAUCUUGACCCGAAUACCUCACCUGUUCAAUUAACGGUUUGAGUUUUAAAAUAUUGCACAGGAGUUAGAGGGAUGAAUAUUGAGGUGAUGAAGUAGAGGUGAUAAGAACAUACCAUAUUUCCCAAAGGCUCCAAGAUAUUGAGGCAUAACACUUGGUAAGGUGUCGUCAGAGAUAUUAUUAUUCUUGGUUUGGGCUUCUUUAUGCAGGGUUGACAUCUCUUUGAAGACUCAUGGAGCAGCUUGUAAGGGUUUCCUCUGAAACCCUUGUUCUUUUAGAAGUUUCUCGAGCUUCCUCGGCCUAAACCAUACCCAGUUCAAUGCUUGCCAUGACACUACUACUACUAGAAGAAGAAGAAGAAGAAGACAAGAAGAAUAUACAGUAAACAUUGACACAUAGAUGGUUUCCAUCAUGUGUUUUUGUUUUGUUGGUUUUCUUGUGAGAUUUCUACCUCUGUUGUGUGUAUAUUUACAUUGGAGUGGGGGCUAUGCAUCCAUUUACUUCAAGACAAAGGAAAUGAUUAAGAAAUAAAAGAGAUGAUAAUUAUCGAAAGUGAAGGGAGAAAAUUUGACCUAGAUGAUGUUCCUAUGUGGCUAUGAUACAUCAGGUGGAGCCUAUUCCCAAAUUUUGGAUUUUAGAGCAAUUAUCCGGUGCAGAUAAAGCUGGAUCCUAUAAAUUUGAAACUUGUUACUAAAGUCAAAUUUUUUUGUUCCAUGUUCUUUAAAACUCUGAACAUUUAUUUUUCUUUUCCUUUUUUCUUGGGAUCACAAAAAAAACUGAGUAUUUGUUUCAUCAAACUAAAGAACCCUUAUAAAGUAAUCUUAGUAUAUAUAAAACCUCGUGUCUAAGCUACGCUAACUUGUAAUAAUGUUUGAUGAAUUUUCAUCUCUUUUGUCAACUAUUCUUGUUCCAUAAUUUAUAGUGGUCGUCGGGGAUGACAAGUAGAUUUUUAAAAAAAAAAAUCACAAAAGAAGUAAGAAUGUAUGAAAUAUUGUUUGCUUUUAGGAUAAUAAGAAGUUGACCCAAAACUAACAGAAAAUGCGUUGCAAAAUCGCCGCCAGCACGUCCUUGCUAGUCCGGGUACAUGCUGAAUGAGAUCAUUGUCCAAACAAGCAGCACAGCAAUGGUCUCGAGCCCAGAAAAAUACAACGCCUUGCACUCCUCAAUAACUUCUCUUGUAAUUGUUCAAAAUUUCAUCAUGUCCAAGUUCCAAAGGAGAUCGACUUACCACUAAGAAAUAUUUUUUUAAUACUAGCUAAUAAAAUUUAUAGAGUCUACUAAUUAAUGUUUGAGAACAGCUGUUAAAUGAUUUUUAAGCCAUGACAAGCCAUUUGUUUUCUCGAUUAUCAAAGAAAAAGGAAAGAUCUCUUGCAAAAUCAAACCAAUAGAUGCAAUAUUUCUCUCUUCAUUCGCCGUGAGAAAAACAUUAGCAUUCUGUUUCAAUGCAUAGUAUCCAAAUCUUCAUUCUCUUGCAAAAUCUGUACUGCUAUAUUCAAACAGAUUCAUUGACAUAUCAUAUUGGGCGAGACUUGAACUAGUUUACAAGCAAAGUUAAGCAUAGAAACAAAAACUAUAUCUUCUGCAAAAUCAAGUGAGCUCCAGACUGGGGUUGAACUAGUGCUGUAGCUGUUCCAGGAGCAUGAGUAUAAGACGGUGAGAGUUCAAAGGAGAAGCGUUGCAGAAUCAUAGACAUUGCCAAUUUUGCUUCCAACAUGGCAAAAUUUUGUCCAAUGCAAAUGCGAGGUCCCCAGCCAAAUGGAAAGUAUGCAACCUGGCCCUUUGUUGCAUGUGAUACUCCUUCAGCAAACCUCUCAGGCUUGAAUUCCUUCACAUCCUCGCCCCAUUUAUCAGGGUCAUGAUGCAUCAGCACUAUUGGUAAGGUGAGUUGCACUCCAGCCGGGAGAGUUAAAUUUCCUAAUUUAGUUUCUUCAAUAGUUCUUCGACUCAUUGUAGCCAAUGGUGGACACAACCUUAAAACCUCAUGCAAGAUCAUGGUGACCUAUAUAUGGGAAGGGGACCCAAAACAAACAAAAAAAAAAAAGAAAAAAAAGGUGUGAGAUAGAGUAAUUAGGAUGUCUAUGCAGAUGAGAAGCUUCGACGAACUUCGUUAAUUAGCAUGUCUCUCCUGCCAUUAGUGCAAUUUUGCAAAUCAAUGAAAUGAUCAUUGCUAAUUUUAUGUUUUUCAAAGAAAAAGAUUGGCUUACAAUUUUGAGGUGAUUUAGCCCAUCAAAGUCCGGAUCCUUAGUUCCAAAUUGUUGCAAGACCUCCUCUCUAGCACGUGCCUGCCAUUCGGGGUACCUGCAGAGUAAGACCAUUGUCCAGACAAGUAG